UCAAUUUAGAGGAGCCAUCCGACGCGGAAACUGCUUCAGUCUCGUCUCCCGCAUCGAACCCAAAACUAACGAGCGGCAUUUUUUAAAAAACUGGUGACUUGUUUGUUUAAAUUGUGUUUUACAUGACUUGGACGGCGAGGCUCUGAGAGUUGCCAAAGUUGGAUUUACUUUUCUUUUUUUUUUUCCCCCCUCUUCUCUCUCGCCACCUCAGACAGUCCCAGCGGUGGUUCAUUUUACACCAAUUAUGUCUUUAUUCUAAAACAAAUUAGCCCAAUUACAGUUCGUCUGCAUGACUAUUUUCUCUGUUUUUUUUAUCUUUAAUUUUUAUUUACAGAUCCCCGUGAAGGUGGAGAGGUCUGUAAAUAAAUAAAAAAAAUAAUAUAUAUAUAUGUGUAACAUCGCGAGGUAUCACGCUCCAACCGUGGGGGACCCGGCUCUCUGCUUCAGCAUCGGCUGCUGAAGACCCGCGUAGAUGACGUGUACGCGGUGGUUUUGCUCGAGGCGGCAGCAGCAGCACUGUAGCAGCGAUGACCAGGAGGUCAAUGGUUUAACUCCGAGGACUUGCUGGGAAAGUCUGGGUAGGGGAAUUGUGUGAUAAGUGCUCUCUAACCCUCAGGAAACCACUGCUGAAGUACCCUUCGGCAAAGCAGCUUACACCCCAUCUGUCCCAGAGGAACUGCACAGCGACCGGCGGUACAAGACUGCGGUUGUACUUGUGAGAUGUGUCUCUUUGAGUGUGACCUACCCUCCCUUUUUUCUUUUUUAAAGAGGCAGAGUGGGCAGUCCAGUCGCCUCACAUGUUUCUCUUUUGUUUUUUUUUUUGUUUUUUUUUGUUCAUGUACUCAGACAGUGAAAAAAGUUAGGGAGAAGAUACAAGAGUGAAAGCUGUGGCAGCACUCAGUCCCGAGGCCAGACAUGGCUCACAUGUGGCCCCAAAGGCAGCAGACAGUGUAUUGAAUUACUGUAACUGAAGGUGUAAUGUGGUAGCAGUGUGGGAGACGGAUACAUUACACAAGCGGAUGUAGGAGAGGCUUAUUUCAGCUUUCUAUUACAGCUAUUUAAUGUUGGAUCGUAUGGUUUAUUUUCUCAACUUUCAGCCAGAACAAUUUAUUAGUAAUAACGGCAGCCUUGUUUUUUUUUGUUUUGUUUUUUUAAUAGUCAACAUUAAUAUGUCAUUAUCAUUGGAUUUACUUAUUAUCUCAAAAUGAUAUCGCCGCGUGAAAACGCUGCACUCCUAGGAUUUUCGUGUACAGCUUGAAGGACACGGAACGGCACGAUGGGGAAAACACCUCCAGCCGUGUUCCGUCCUCCGUCAAGAUGUUGGACUUUUGGAAACACUUUGCCUGUGAUAUGUACAAUUAUAAGAUGAUUAAUAAAGAACUGCUGUUUGAAAUGAUAGUGGUUAAAUGAGUGGUGCUUUGCAUAAUUGCAGUUUACAGUGUUACACCUGCCACAUCUAUGACUAAUAAAGUUGAAAAGGCUCCGAUGAACUGUGUUUAAACUGACUUUCUUUACACAGAACAUCAUGUUGUACACUUGAUUUAUCUUUUGCAGUUUUACAACAACAUCUUACUGUAAAUGUGCCAAUAAAGCUUGUUUUUUUUCCAACUUGAA